rnacentral:tRNA from 1 species
GUCCCUGUAGCUUAAACAAAGCAUGACACUGAAGAUGUCAAGAUGGCUGUUGCACGCACCCAAGGACA